rnacentral:rRNA from 1 species
GACGGGGGAUGCAAGUGUUAUCCGGAAUCAUUGGGCGUAAAGAGCGUGUAGGCGGCCCGGUAAGUCCGCUGUGAAAGUCGGGGGCUCAACCCUCGAAUGCCGGUGGAUACUGUCGGGCUAGAGUGCGGAAGAGGCGAGUGGAAUUCCUGGUGUAGCGGUGAAAUGCGCAGAUAUCAGGAGGAACACCAAUUGCGAAGGCAGCUCGCUGGGACGUAACUGACGCUGAGACGCGAAAGCGUGGGGAGCAAACAGG